UGUGUGGUGGUAAACGGAGGGGUUCUCGAAGUUUCUGUGGGGAACUCAACCUUGGUGUUGGGCAGUCCGGGCGUAUCUGAUCAGCAAUGACUGUGCGUUUGGUCUGGCUUGGCUCCCGGGUGCAUUUUCCCCGCAGUUUACGGCAGGAACCAUUUGGCUCGGAUCAAAGGCCUCGGGUGAAGUUGUUGGUUACGGCCGGCAGCCCUGGGUGUCCUGACUCCGCGCUCGAUGGGUACGUGAGAGGACUCGUAUAGCGAGCAACGCUCUGUUGCGGUUCUCAUCUCUCUGCCGAGUAGGUCGGCG
rnacentral:rRNA from 1 species